UACACUUUUGAGUUAUCCAAAAUAGCCCUAGCAAUCUCCAAUCACGUUCCACCGGCACAUUAAAUGUAGGGACUAAAUUACCUUUUCUUACAAUUUCCACCCAAACACCUUCCACUUCUUCUGCGCAAUUUCUAGUAUAUCCAUGAAGAAAGAAUCACACCCAUCUAAAUCACAGUUCCACACCCAGUUAGGUAACCAAAAAAGUGAGAGAUAAAUUGACGAUGAGAUGAAUCCAUUUCCAUCAAGAUCAAUCCUAUAAAAACAACGAUGAAGUUGGUUAGAUUUGGUUUUACUUUUGUUUGCUGGGUUUACAAGCUUAAGAAGAUCAGAAGCAUCACUCAAAGAAAUUGGCUAGAUUUGGCUUAACUUUUGAGGGCGGAAUUAAAGAAUAGAUAUGUUGGAAAUCUCAUAAACAACAAUACUUUAUCUUUUGAGAUUUGUGUUUAGCUUUUUGGAGCUUCUUCGGAAGGACGAGGAGUUAAAAAUAUGUUAAUCCCUUCUGAAAGUGGGUUAAUUUUUGGAUUAAUGUUAAUGGAGUUUUUUGUUAAUCCCUACUGAAAAUGAAAAUGGAGCCAAAUUUAAUUUCCUUAUGAUUCUGAUGCUGGAUUGAAAGGGUGAAGAAGAAGAUUGAACAAGGAAAUGACAAAAAAACUGAUAAGAAUGGACAUUGGGCCUAACUCAACCCCAAAAACUAGCUUGUGAGGUGAGGAUUGCCCAAGCCAUAUAAGGAGAUCAAGGACCUCAACUCCCACCGAUGUGGGACAACUCAACACCCCCCUCAUGCCCAGGCCUUUGGAGCGUGGACAACAUAAAUAGGGGCCCAACAUCGGUAACAAUAAUUGGGAUGGACCUGGCUCUGAUACCAUGAUAAGAAUGGACAUUGAGCCUAACUCAACCUCAAAAGCUAGCUUGUGAGGUGAGGAUUGCCCAAGCCAUAUAAGGAGACCAAGGACCUUAACUCCAACCGAUAUGGACAACUCAACAAAAACCCAAUUAGUUCAUAUGUUGUUGAUGUGAUGCUAGGGGUAUUUUGGAGAACUCAAAAGUGUAUAUAAUGCUAACCUACUACAACUAU